rnacentral:rRNA from 1 species
AUAGAACGCUGGCGGCAGGCUUAGCACAUGCAAGUCGAGCGGGGUGAUGGUGCUUGCACUAUCACUUAGCGGCGGACGGGUGAGUAAUGCUUAGGAAUCUGCCUAUUAGUGGGGGACAACAUCUCGAAAGGGAUGCUAAUACCGCAUACGUCCUACGGGAGAAAGCAGGGGAUCACUUGUGACCUUGCGCUAAUAGAUGAGCCUAAGUCGGAUUAGCUAGUUGGUGGGGUAAAGGCCUACCAAGGCGACGAUCUGUAGCGGGUCUGAGAGGAUGAUCCGCCACGCUGGGACUGAGACACGGCCCAGAAUCCGACGGGAGGCAGCAGUGGGGAAUAUUGGACAAUGGGGGGAACCCUGAUCCAGCCAUGCCGCGUGUGUGAAGAAGGCCUUAUGGUUGUAAAGCACUUUAAGCGAGGAGGAGGCUCUUUUGGUUAAUACCCAAGAUGAGUGGGCGUUACUCGCAGAAUAAGCACCGGCUAACUCUGUGCCAGCCGCCGCAGUAA